GUAUGUUAUUUUGUUUUAUUUGUUUUAAUUCAUUUGAACAUAAUCGAUCGGAUUGGAUAUUUCGGAAAAAUUGUUGAAUCACUCAAAGGUAUAAUAACGAGAGAGAAUGCCUUAAUAUAACUUCGAGGUAGCCAGAGAACACUUUUAAACGAAGUUUCUUUCGGCGUUGGACGGUUUCGAAUUUUGCAACGACGGUGGUGGAAUCGGAGCUACCAAUCCUGGAGCAGAGAUUACACGGGUAAGGUGCGAGUUAUCGAAUCGAGUGGGGCGGAGCUCAAACGACGACGUUUUGGUUCCUGGAGGAAUUUCGGGAUCUUCGAUUGCGGAUCCUUUUCUAAGCGAAUCCAGUCUACGAUCGGACGUAAAGACGCGUGGAACGAAUUCAUCCCUGCUUUUUCAUAUUAUUUUUUAUAUCAGGAGGGAAAGCUUUUUUUUUUGAUAAUUGAUCUACUCGAUCGACCGUUAUCGGUCUCACGUACGUUGUUGAUUUGGAGAGUGAAUUGAAUAAAAGACAAAAUCGAAGAUGCCACAGGCGGCUCACGAAACGAAAAACAUUCUUACCACUUACUUGAUCCUCAUUUUACUUUUGAUCUCAUUAUGGUUACUUUACUCGGGGAUAUUUUAAUCCCUUACAAUUAAUUUUUUUUUCUCAUAAUGGGUUGAAGCAUGAAAGACGAAUAAUGCGAGUUUCUCGAAGACUGGAAAACUUUCUUCGUUGAUAUAAAUUGAAAUUGAGAAUUGAAGCAUCAAUUAAACGUUUCCGGAUUCUUCUUGAUCUCGCUGUCGGAAUACGAUCACCGAUUUGCAAUCACGCAAUAUUUAAUUUAAGUUUUAAUUAAGUUUUAAUAAUCGAAACGAAAUAAUGUCAAGGAAAAGAAAAAAAAAAUAGAUUUUUAAUUAAUUCUAUACGGAAGACGCGUGGAAGUGAGUGAAAUUAUUAUAAUUAGAAUGUAAUAUAUAUUUCUAUGAUUGUGCCAAUUUAUAGAAAGUGUGAAACAUUAAUAAAUGUUCAAGAUGAAAACAUGUAGGUGCGCGCUCGUGUGUAUGUACGAUCGAAUGAAUGUCAAUACAUGUUCGUAACGCGUUAAUGUAUUCAAUGUUUAAAAAAGUGUAUGUGAAAA
rnacentral:lncRNA from 1 species